rnacentral:precursor_RNA from 14 species
GAUAUUCCAAAACCAUCUCUGACUUCAAUUUUUUGAUUGCUCGUCGAUGUUGUCGAAGACACAAAAAAUUCUAUCGAAUCAUCGAAAACAAUCAAAGAAUGGAGUGAUUGAGAUACUUUUUCAACAUA